CAGUCGCCACGGGAAUACGUAGGUGGCAAGCGUUGUCCGGAAUUAUUGGGCGUAAAGGGCUCGCAGGCGGUUUCUUAAGUCUGAUGUGAAAGCCCCCGGCUCAACCGGGGAGGGUCAUUGGAAACUGGGAAACUUGAGUGCAGAAGAGGAGAGUGGAAUUCCACGUGUAGCGGUGAAAUGCGUAGAGAUGUGGAGGAACACCGGUGGCGAAGGCGACUCUCUGGUCUGUAACUGACGCUGAGGAGCGAAAGCGUGGGGAGCAAACAGGAUUAGAUACCCGCGUAGUCCCUGUCUCUUAUAC
rnacentral:rRNA from 1 species